AUGUACGUCAGUAUAUGGGGGAUGUUUCCCACACAUUCAACGGCGUGUUUACAGGAAAAACGAAGGGAGAUAAA
rnacentral:sRNA from 1 species